rnacentral:misc_RNA from 1 species
UUAAGUUCAGCGGGUAGUCCUACCUGAUUUGAGAUCAAACAUUCAAAAGAGCCAUCUCCGCUGAGGAGAGACAUUUAUGAGCCCCAGCGAACCUUCAUCGCUGAAGGUCAUCUGAUGGAAAUCCACAAGUGUAGAUAGUUAUCACACCUGUGAUGCCACCAAACACUGGCAAGCUGAUUCAUUUUAGAGGAGCUGACAAU